UUAUCUCCAUUGUAGGCUCCACACAGACCUAAAAUACAUUUUUCAAGAUGAUCAAGUCAUAUAUAUCACAUGGUAGACUCUUACCCUUGGUUCUGUUAAAAUCAUAAGCUGAAGGUAUUAUAAGUACAUUCAAAUGUUCAGGCUGCACAUCUACUUCUAUCACAGUUCCAGUUGGAAUGGAAAUCUUUAUAAAAAAAAAGCAGCUUUAAUCACUAUGGAGCAAUCAGAAGUGGAGUUGGCUGUGUUGCACAUGAAAGCUGGUGGAAAAGAGCUCUUGAUCUGGAUGACUUCUCCUUGUUUUCCUUCUACCACUACAAGACUUGGGGCACU